rnacentral:rRNA from 1 species
GAUCAUGGCUCAGAUUGAACGCUGGCGGCAGGCCUAAGACAUGCAAGUCGAGCGAGAAAGCCCUUCGGGGUGAGUACAGCGGCGGACGGGUGAGUAACGCGUAGGAAUCUACCUAGUAGUGGGGGACAACUCGUGGAAACGCGAGCUAAUACCGCAUACGCCCUACGGGGGAAAGCGGGGGAUCUUCGGACCUCGUGCUAUUAGAUGAGCCUGCGUAAGAUUAGCUAGUUGGUGGGGUAAUGGCCUACCAAGGCGACGAUCUUUAGCUGGUCUGAGAGGAUGAUCAGCCACACCGGGACUGAGACACGGCCCGGACUCCUACGGGAGGCAGCAGUCGGGAAUAUUGCGCAAUGGGCGAAAGCCUGACGCAGCCAUGCCGCGUGUGUGAAGAAGGCCCUAGGGUUGUAAAGCACUUUCAAUUGGGAGGAAAAGCUAAUGGUUAAUAGCCAUUAGCCCUGACGUUACCUUUAGAAGAAGCACCGGCUAACUCCGUGCCAGCAGCCGCGGUAAUACGGAGGGUGCAAGCGUUAAUCGGAAUUACUGGGCGUAAAGCGCGCGUAGGCGGUUUUUUAAGUCGGAUGUGAAAGCCCCGGGCUCAACCUGGGAAUUGCAUCCGAUACUGGAUGACUAGAAUGCGGGAGAGGGAGGUAGAAUUCCAUGUGUAGCAGUGAAAUGCGUAGAUAUAUGGAGGAAUACCAGUGGCGAAGGCGGCCUCCUGGCUCGACAUUGACGCUGAGGUGCGAAAGCGUGGGGAGCAAACGGGAUUAGAUACCCCGGUAGUCCACGCCGUAAACGAUGUCUACUAGCUGUAGGGGUACUUGAGACCUUUGUAGCGCAGCUAACGCAAUAAGUAGA